CCCUUAGAUGUUCUGGGCCGCACGCGCGCUACAAUGAUGCAUUCAACGAGUUUAUAACCUUGGUUGAAAAGCCUGGGUAAUCUUUUGAACUUUCGUCGUGAUGGGGCUAGACCCUUGCAAUUAUUGGUCUCCAACGAGGAAUUCCUAGUAAACGCAAGUCAUCAGCUUGCAUUGAUCACGUCCCUGCCCUUUGUACACACCGCCCGUCGCACCUACCGAUUGAAUGGUCCGGUGAAAUCUUCGGAUUGAGACUUUGAUUUCUUCACGGAAAACGCUGUUUUAAGAAGUUGAUUAAACCUUACCAUUUAGAGGAAGGUGAAGUCGUAACA
rnacentral:rRNA from 1 species